rnacentral:rRNA from 1 species
UACGAAGGGUGCAAACGUUGCUCGGAAUUAUUGGGCGUAAAGCGCACGUAGGCGGCUUGGCAAGUCGGAUGUGAAAUCCCUCGGCUCAACCAAGGAAGUGCAUCCGAAACUGCUGAGCUUGAGUACUUAAGAGGAUCGCGGAAUUCCCGGUGUAGAGGUGAAAUUCGUAGAUAUCGGGAGGAACACCAGUGGCGAAGGCGAAUCCCUGGAAAAUACCUGACACUGAGGCACGAAAGCUAGGGGAGCAAACAGG